rnacentral:rRNA from 2 species
AUCUGCCCUGCACUCUGGGAUAAGCCUGGGAAACUGGGUCUAAUACCGGAUAUGAGCUCCUGUCGCAUGGCGGGGGUUGGAAAGGUUUACUGGUGCAGGAUGGGCCCGCGGCCUAUCAGCUUGUUGGUGGGGUAAUGGCCUACCAAGGCGACGACGGGUAGCCGGCCUGAGAGGGCGACCGGCCACACUGGGACUGAGACACGGCCCAGACUCCUACGGGAGGCAGCAGUGGGGAAUAUUGCACAAUGGGCGAAAGCCUGAUGCAGCGACGCCGCGUGAGGGAUGACGGCCUUCGGGUUGUAAACCUCUUUCAGCAGGGACGAAGCGAGAGUGACGGUACCUGCAGAAGAAGCACC